UGUAACACCAGGUCUUACCUUCUCAUAAUAUUUGACUUCGUACUCGGUGCGGCUGCUGUUCGGGUACGAGGGCUCCCUCCACACCAGGGUUAUGCUCUUCUGCUCGAUCUUCUCGGCUCGCAGCGCGCUGAUCAGCGAUGGCGCUACAAAUGGGGGAGAAAAGGGAGAAGAGGAUGAGAGAUGAGUUUUUGGGGUCUCCAGUCUCAUUCAGUAUGAACACAGUAGUAGUAGUAGUUGUACAAAGUUGGACUGUUCAGGGAAAAAGGUCAAGGUCAGAAUACACUGAAUUCUGUCAUGAGGAGGAAUUUUGCAAGAAAGCAAUGAUAGGCAAAGAGUGUGGGUUUGUGUGUGUGUGUGUGUGUGUGUGUGUACGCGCACGCACGUGUCUGCCAAGGAGCGCCAAAACCAAGCAGAGUGGAGGAGACAUGGAGGAGGCUCUGCUUUUCAUUAAAAAAAAAAAAAAAUCAGAUUAUUCAGAUUUUUCUUUGUCUUUUUUUUUUUUUUUUUAAAAUGCUCCAAUACGUAAAGGAAAAUCUAGUGAGCAUGUUCACAAUUUAAUGCUACAUUUUUGUUCCAAAAAAUAAAUAACACUGAGCAGUGGUGUACCCAGGAUGUUUGAGGGUCAGGGGCAAAAAAAAAUGUAAAAAAGGGCACCAGUGACCCUGAGCUUUUGCAGUUAGCUGUCGUUGUUCAAUUAAAACACAUGCAGUAAUCAAUUAAACCCAACACACAUGCUGACUCCUCUGUGCCUGCCCCCCCAAAAAAACUUUUUCUAACCAUUAUCUUAACCACUGACCCGCAAAUCAGCCUUUUCGCCCAACUUGGGGGGGGAGGGGGGUGCAGUUUUUCGUCCCAAGCUGUCCCCAAAUAACAGGUUUGGAAUUCGUCCCCAAAGUAGUCCAUGUAUAAAACACACCUACCCACCCGACACAAGCACCCAACACCCAAUCAACUCAAAUGUGAAAAAGACAGAAAACCUUGAAGUUACUUAAACGUUCAAAGCGCUCAGAAAAAACUUUAAUCAGGCCAAUUAGUGCCAUUUUUUGAAAGUAUGCACAGUUGGCUUUGAGGAGUCGAGUCAUUGGAGGGGAAUAUCUGCAGAUUUCUAAAUGCAACUUAAGACGUAAACAGCGAGUGGCACAGCGGAGGGGUGGCUGGAGAGAAGAAAGGCGCUAAAGCAGAAAGAAAAAAAAAACGCUAAUGAAGAGUUUACGGGACUUUAAACAAACACUUGGGGAGAAAUGACUUUAUCUCCGCAGGAAUUUAUCAUAUAGAGCGGAGGAAACAGGCUCUCAUGGUAAAUGUAAAGCAGGGUGAAAAAAAAAAAGAGUAAGAUAUGAAAGUGCACGCAUGAGUCUGCAGGUAGUUAAAGGACAAACACUGAAGAAACCGAGAACAUGAAGAGAGGAGACGGAGCUGGUUUAGAGUCAAAGGAAGCGCUUAGAGUCACUCUCUUCUCUCCCCCAUGCCAAGUCUCUGAAACCGAAACGCAAAAGAGAGAAAACUUCAGUGUCAACCUGCUCUCCCCGCCUACAACCGCAGGCUAUUGUUUGCUAUUCUUUCCUUCCUCAUGCGCUGAAUUAUGCAUAGGACCGGUGCCUGCCUCCAAACCCCAGAUCACACAGC